rnacentral:rRNA from 1 species
UACGAAGGGGGCUAGCGUUGUUCGGAAUUACUGGGCGUAAAGCGCACGUAGGCGGACAUUUAAGUCAGGGGGUGAAAUCCCGGGGCUCAACCCCGGAACUGCCUUUGAUACUGGGUGUCUAGAGUAUGGAAGAGGUGAGUGGAAAUUCCGAGUGUAGAGGUGAAAUUCGUAGAUAUUCGGAGGAACACCAGUGGCGAAGGCGGCUCACUGGUCCAUUACUGACGCUGAGGUGCGAAAGCGUGGGGAGCAAACAGG